GGUCAAAGAUUAAAACCAUUCUUGAAACUAUCCAAAGAAUCUUUUGACGAAGCCAUAGUUCUGUAUGAACUAACUUAUCUCAAUUAAUUUGCUUUCAAUAUUUUAUCUGGCUGAAGAUAUUAAACUUAGUACUUCUGGGAGGCAACCCAAUUUCUUUAAACUAAUAUCUUUUCUAUUGAAUAAACAGAGAUAUCCAUCUUUAAAUUUCAGACUUCAAGCCAAUAUCACACC
rnacentral:lncRNA from 1 species